rnacentral:rRNA from 1 species
GCGUGGAAACGUGCCUUUCACUACGGAAUAGCUUUUGGAAACGAAAGGUAAUACCGUAUACGCCCUCCGGGGGAAAGAUUUAUCGGUGAAAGAUCGGUCCGCGUUAGAUUAGCUAGUUGGUGAGGUAAGAGCUCACCAAGGCGACGAUCUAUAGCUGGUCUGAGAGGAUGAUCAGCCACACUGGGACUGAGACACGGCCCAGACUCCUACGGGAGGCAGCAGUGGGGAAUAUUGCACAAUGGGGGAAACCCUGAUGCAGCCAUGCCGCGUGUGUGAAGAAGGCCUUCGGGUUGUAAAGCA